rfam:Emmonsia sp. CAC-2015a strain CBS 136260 supercont2.5, whole genome shotgun sequence.
GCCCCCGUAGCCCAAUGGUAGGGCGUCAGACUUCUAUCUACCAGAAUUUUUGGAAAAAGCAGAUCUGAAGGUUGCGGGUUCGAGCCCCGCCGGGGGUU